rnacentral:misc_RNA from 1 species
GAUGAAGAACGUAGCGAAAUGCGAUAAGUAAUGUGAAUUGCAGAAUUCAGUGAAUCAUCGAAUCUUUGAACGCACCUUGCACCCUUUGGUAUUCCGAAGGGUAUGCUCGUUUGAGUGUCAUUGUACUCUCACACUUCUAAUUCCUUUCGGGUUUGGGAGCGGUGGACUUGGGUGUUGCUGCUUUAGUUGUGGCUCACCUCAAAUAAGUUAGUGCAACUCUUGGUUGGACAUAGUACGGCGUGAUAAGUGUCUUCGCCGGCGCCUCUGUAAGGAGGGUGGCCGAUCGGGAGCUCUGUGCUUCAAACCGUCUUCGGACAAUCUUUGACAACUUGACCUCAAAUCGAGUAGGACUACCCGCUGAACUUAAGCAUAUCAAUAAGCGGAGGA